rnacentral:rRNA from 1 species
CUUCGGGGGACAGAGUGACAGGUGGUGCAUGGUUGUCGUCAGCUCGUGUCGUGAGAUGUUGGGUUAAGUCCCGCAACGAGCGCAACCCUUAAGCUUAGUUGCCAUCAUUAAGUUGGGCACUUUAAGUUGACUGCCGGUGACAAACCGGAGGAAGGUGGGGAUGACGUCAAAUCAUCAUGCCCCUUAUGAUUUGGGCUACACACGUGCUACAAUGGACAAUACAAAGGGCAGCGAAACCGCGAGGUCAAGCAAAUCCCAUAAAGUUGUUCUCAGUUCGGAUUGUAGUCUGCAACUCGACUAUAUGAAGCUGGAAUCGCUAGUAAUCGUAGAUCAGCAUGCUACGGUGAAUACGUUCCCGGGUCUUGUACACACCGCCCGUCACACCACGAGAGUUUGUAACACCCGAAGCCGGUGGAGUAACCAUUUGGAGCUAGCCGUCGAAGGUGGGACAAAUGAUUGGGGUGAAGUCGUAACAAGGUAGCCGUAUCGGAAGGUGCGGCUGGAUCACCUCCUUU